rnacentral:rRNA from 1 species
CCUACGGGUGGCAGCAGUGAGGAAUAUUGGUCAAUGGGCGCGAGCCUGAACCAGCCAAGUAGCGUGAGGGAUUACGGCCCUACGGGUUGUAAACUUCUUUUAUAGAGGAAUAAAGUGAGGCACGUGUGCCUUCUUGUAUGUUCUCUAUGGAUAAGGAUCGGCUAACCCCGUGCCAGCAGCCGCGGUUAUUCGGGGGAUGCGAGCGUUUACCGGAUUUAUUGGGUUUAAAGGGAGCGUAGAUGGGUUGUUAAGUUAGGUGGGAAAGUUUGGGGCUCAACCGGAGAACUGCAGUUGAUACUGGGAGUCUUGAGUACAGGUGAGGUAGGCGGAAUUCGUGGUGUAGCGGUGAAAUGCUUAGAUAUCACGAAGAACUCCGAUUGCGAAGGCAGCUUACUAAACUGCUACUGACAUUGAUGCACGAAAGUGUGGGUAUCGAACAGGAUUAGAUACCCCUGUAGUC